rnacentral:tRNA from 1 species
GCGGUUGUGGUGGAAUGGCAGACACGCAUGCUUGAGGGGCAUGUGAGCAGUAGCUCGUGUGGGUUCGAAUCCCAUCGACCGCA